rnacentral:rRNA from 1 species
UACGGGGGGGGCAAGCGUUGUUCGGAAUCACUGGGCUUAAAGCGUGUGUAGGCGGGUCGUUAAGUACCUUGUGAAAUCCCAUGGCUCAACCAUGGAACUGCUGGGUAUACUGGCGAUCUUGUGCAACCUAGGGGCGAGCGGAACAGAUGGUGGAGCGGUGAAAUGCGUAGAUAUCAUCUGGAACGCCAAUGGUGAAAACAGCUCGCUGGGGGUUUGCAGACGCUGAGACACGAAAGCCAGGGGAGCGAACGGG